GUUUACCGGUUGUGCCGCCAGGUGCAUUGCCGGGUAUCUAAGUCGGGAUUGGAUAAGUGCUGAAAGCAUCUAAGUACGAAGCCAGCCACAAGAUUAGAUUUCUUAGGGUCGUCAUAGACGAUGACGUUGAUAGGAUGCAGGUGUACAGGCAGCGAUGUCAUAGCCGAGCAUUACUAAUUGCCCGUUCACUUUUGGUC
rnacentral:rRNA from 1 species